UACGUAGGGCGCAAGCGUUGUCCGGAAUUAUUGGGCGUAAAGAGCUCGUAGGUGGCUUGUCGCGUCUGCCGUGAAAACUGGAGGCUCAACCUCCAGCCUGCAGUGGGUACGGGCAGACUAGAGUGCGGUAGGGGAGAUUGGAAUUCCUGGUGUAGCGGUGGAAUGCGCAGAUAUCAGGAGGAACACCGAUGGCGAAGGCAGAUCUCUGGGCCGUAACUGACGCUGAGGAGCGAAAGCGUGGGGAGCGAACAGG
rnacentral:rRNA from 1 species